rnacentral:rRNA from 1 species
GUGGGGAAUCUUAGACAAUGGGGGAAACCCUGAUCUAGCCAUGCCGCGUGAGCGAUGAAGGCCUUAGGGUUGUAAAGCUCUUUCAGAGGGGAAGAUAAUGACGGUACCCUCAGAAGAAGCCCCGGCUAACUCCGUGCCAGCAGCCGCGGUAAUACGGAGGGGGCUAGCGUUGUUCGGAAUUACUGGGCGUAAAGCGCACGUAGGCGGACCAGAAAGUCAGGGGUGAAAUCCCGGGGCUCAACCCCGGAACUGCCUUUGAAACUCCUGGUCUUGAGGUCGAGAGAGGUGAGUGGAAUUCCGAGUGUAGAAGUGAAAUUCGUAGAUAUUCGGAGGAACACCAGUGGCGAAGGCGGCUCACUGGCUCGAUACUGACGCUGAGGUGCGAAAGCGUGGGGAGCAAACAGGAUUAGAUACCCCGGUAGUCC